rnacentral:rRNA from 1 species
UUGAACUGAAGAGUUUGAUCCUGGCUCAGAUUGAACGCUGGCGGCAUGCCUUACACAUGCAAGUCGAACGGCAGCACGGGUGCUUGCACCUGGUGGCGAGUGGCGAACGGGUGAGUAAUACAUCGGAACAUGUCCUGUAGUGGGGGAUAGCCCGGCGAAAGCCGGAUUAAUACCGCAUACGAUCCACGGAUGAAAGCGGGGGACCUUCGGGCCUCGCGCUAUAGGGUUGGCCGAUGGCUGAUUAGCUAGUUGGUGGGGUAAAGGCCUACCAAGGCGACGAUCAGUAGCUGGUCUGAGAGGACGACCAGCCACACUGGGACUGAGACACGGCCCAGACUCCUACGGGAGGCAGCAGUGGGGAAUUUUGGACAAUGGGCGAAAGCCUGAUCCAGCAAUGCCGCGUGUGUGAAGAAGGCCUUCGGGUUGUAAAGCACUUUUGUCCGGAAAGAAAUCCUUGACUCUAAUACAGUCGGGGGAUGACGGUACCGGAAGAAUAAGCACCGGCUAACUACGUGCCAGCAGCCGCGGUAAUACGUAGGGUGCAAGCGUUAAUCGGAAUUACUGGGCGUAAAGCGUGCGCAGGCGGUUUGCUAAGACCGAUGUGAA